UACGAAGGGGGCUAGCGUUGUUCGGAAUUACUGGGCGUAAAGCGCGCGCAGGCGGUCUUUCAAGUCAGUGGUGAAAGCCCGGAGCUCAACUCCGGAAAUGCCAUUGAAACUGUGAGACUUGAGGAUGAGAGAGGUGAGUGGAACUGCGAGUGUAGAGGUGAAAUUCGUAGAUAUUCGCAAGAACACCAGUGGCGAAGGCGGCUCACUGGCCCGGAACUGACGCUGAGGUGCGAAAGCGUGGGGAGCAAACAGG
rnacentral:rRNA from 1 species